GUCGAACGGGAAUCUUCGGAUUCUAGUGGCGGACGGGUGAGUAACGCGUAAGAAUCUAACUUCAGGACGGGGACAACAGUUGGAAACGACUGCUAAUACCCGAUGUGCCGCAAGGUGAAAACUAAUUGGCCUGAAGAAGAGCUUGCGUCUGAUUAGCUAGUUGGUGGGGUAAGAGCCUACCAAGGCGACGAUCAGUAGCUGGUCUGAGAGGAUGAGCAGCCACACUGGGACUGAGACACGGCCCAGACUCCUACGGGAGGCAGCAGCGGGGAAUUUUCCGCAAUGGGCGAAAGCCUGACGGAGCAACGCCGCGUGAGGGAGGAAGGUCUUUGGAUUGUAAACCUCUUUUCUCAAGGAAGAAGUUCUGACGGUACUUGAGGAAUCAGCCUCGGCUAACUCCGUGCCAGCAGCCGCGGUAAUACGGGGGAGGCAAGCGUUAUCCGGAAUUAUUGGGCGUAAAGCGUCCGCAGGUGGUCAGCCAAGUCUGCCGUCAAAUCAGGUUGCUUAACGACCUAAAGGCGGUGGAAACUGGCAGACUAGAGAGCAGUAGGGGUAGCAGGAAUUCCCAGUGUAGCGGUGAAAUGCGUAGAGAUUGGGAAGAACAUCGGUGGCGAAAGCGUGCUACUGGGCUGUAUCUGACACUCAGGGACGAAAGCUAGGGGAGCGAAAGGGAUUAGAUACCCCUGUAGUCCUAGCCGUAAACGAUGGAUACUAGGCGUGGCUUGUAUCGACCCGAGCCGUGCCGAAGCUAACGCGUUAA
rnacentral:rRNA from 1 species